rnacentral:lncRNA from 1 species
UUAUUAUUACUAUUAUUAAUAUUUCUCCCUUUCCGUAACCUGUCAACAUACAACUAUUAAGAUGGGGCGCCGGUGGGUUGCUAUGCUUUGAAAAUACUACUUCUUUUUCUAUUCCAGCAGAACCUGGAAAAAAUACCAAGACCCUAGUACGUGUCAGCACCCCGGAUAAUCCUUUCCUUUAUCUGUCAUAUGAGAUUAGGUUUACCUAAGAGAAGAAAGACCUGGAACUUCAUCGGCAUGUCCAUCUCUGUUUCCCAUGCGAGUUAUUUCGAUUGUUGUUUCGGUGUUUUUGGGGGCUUUUGCUCCAUUCCACUGAGGUUUGUAUCCUAAGAUAAAAGGAGGAAAAACUGGGGAAGGAGAGGGAAAAAAAACACAGGAUUGGAUGGAAUAUAUAUUAUAUUAUAUCCCAGCCAUGCCAUUUUUGGGGAGUGGGAAUUCUUGAGGUUUGUGCUUUCCCCUUUUGGAUGGAAUGCAAGAUAUGGUGGUGUUUACAGGGAAGGAGUCGUCUCUCCUUCUCUAUCAG